CCGCCCCCUAUUUUGGAAUGAGAUAUUUUAUUUUCAAUUAGCUCUAUUUUUAUGUCCAGACCCAAAAACUCAUUCUCUGUUGUAUAAGAGCAUAAAUCAUUCUCCUUCUGUAUGAGUAUGAAACCAUCUCACUCUCAUGAAAAUGGAGAAUACAUACUCACUUGGAUUCAGCUGUCACCGCACGUUCUCCAUGUCUUUCAAUCUUCGGCCACACAUUUUUCUUAUCUCUCCAUCUUCAUUCACAUAUUCUCCUUGUCUAUCCAUCUUCAGCCAACCCUUCCUUUUAUCUCUCCAUCUUCGGCCACACCCUUCUCCUUUUCAAAAACACAAAUUUGGUUUUCUCAUGAUUCUAACCAUUCUAUCACAAAACCCUUAGUGAUUAUCGUAAACCCUAAAAUUUCAUCGUUGUUCGAAUCGUCACUCAUCUCCAAUAGAUCUCGCUUCUUCAAAUAUUCAUUAUAAUCAUGUUUUGUUUUACAGGUUAAGGAAAGGAGGCAAGAGAUUUUAUAACUUAGAGAAGGUCUGAAGGAAGCUUAAGGUUCGGAUCUAGGUGAGGUGCUCGUUGAUUUUUCGAAUCUAGAAUUUUUAUUAUUUUUGAAUCUAUGUUUUUUAUGCUAUUUUGAAUCUAGGUUUUUGGUACUGAAGUAGUGAGGUCAUUCUUCAAUGUUUCUAACUUCACCGAAGGAAGGAUGUUGAACGUGUUUGUCAAAGCUAUUAUGUUGAAUUAUCGAUUUUGAUUUCUAUGAGGUUAGCUACUCAAUUGUUUCAUAACUCUUUAGCUUUUUAUGUUACAUGUUUGUAUUAUUUUAUUAGCUGUAAAACAAGUUGAUACAACUAAAUGUUAUCCCUUUAAUUUGAUAAUGUAAGGUGUGAAAAAAAGGGUAUUCUUUUACAUUAUUUUAAUUAUGCUAACUUGUGGGUUUAUUUUGUUUUUGUUAUAUCAGGGAGCAUAGUUCUUUAGGGGAAAUUUGGUGUUUAAUCUCUUUGAGAAACAAGCUGAACCUCUUCCUAUUUUUCUUCUUCAGAUGCAACAUUUUAGUACUCUCCCUAAGAUGCCAAUUAAAGAUAUGACACAACAGGUAGAAAGAGACUUUCUAGUGAUAUACUUAUUUUAGGGUCUUCUUUGUUGUAUGAAGUUUUAGCAUUAUUGACUCUGAUUUAGAUAGUUAAAUGAUGUAUGGAAUUUAUAUAGACUACUCUACAUGCUAGAAGGGUUGUAUGUUGGAAGACUCUCUCCGACAGCCAAUGAGAAAGUAUAAGGAUUUAACAAGCCAUCUAUAGUAUCAAUAUUUAUGACUAUUCGCAUCAUACCUUAUAUAUUUCUUUGCUGCCUUUUUUUGGAAAAUUAUAACUAUUGUGUCAAAUAGGUUGUAUAGAAUUGUUCAUAUUUUUCAAUGAUCAAAUUUUGGAUUUGAUUACAAAUUUUGGAUUUGAUUCACAUCCUCCUUAGGUAUAAGAGAGAAUUGGAAUCAAUCACUCAUGAAACUUCUUUCUUUGUAUCAUGUGAUAUUUCAAAAUAAAGUUUGAUGCUGGUAUUAUUGUUGAUUAUUUGUAUGUUUGUGGUGUUGAUGUUCUAUGAUAAAAAUAUGUACUAUAUGUCAUGUUGUUUUUUUAAUGUAAGUGUGUCAUACCCUAAAUUUCACCAUGAGUUUUUCACUCGUAUCAGCAUAGCAUGAACCGAUCCAUUUUGUCGUGCAUUUCAUUAGUUAAAAAGUACUUAUCAGAGUUUAUAUAAAAAAAGUUAGGAGUUCUGGCAUUUUAUCUGAUCUUGAUAAUAUUCAUUCAGUCAUAUGUUUAUUGAGAAGUCGAAAGACUUUAUUUCUCUAUCUCAGUGCAUAAUUUAUUCUGUUGCAUCUCGUUUCAGAGUUUCAAAGGGUGACAAUCAUGAGUAUUAUCAUUUUCUGAAUCUUUGUAGAAUUUUCUUUGUGAUUAAGAAUUAGAAGCAAGUGGUCCAAGAGCAAUUCAUUUGCAUCUGGUUAUCUGUUCACGAGUAUUAAAUCAGCAAUUUAGUUCAUUCACCAGACAUUUGCAUUUUAUACUUGUUACAACAUGAAUUUUGUUUUGCAUGUAUCUUGAAAUGUCGCUCGAAAUAAUUUUUCAGAUCUACAGACGGACAAGUCGAAUUGUUUCUCAACUAUGUAUCAAAUUGGCGGGCAAAAAAAUUUCAAAAUUGAGCUUUCUGACGUCAGUUUUAUUGAUAUAUGUUCCAUGUAGUUUAACCAGAUGCGCUCGUUUUAAUUUUUCGACUACUUUUUCAUUCGUGUUUUUAUCAGUCUGGGCUUUAUUCCGGUCAAUUUUUAUUUUAAAAUUUAAUUAUAACAUGUAUGUUUCCAAAAAGUUUAUUUUGCGCUAAUCAUUUUUGAUGCAUUAAAAUUUUCUUUCGAACAUUUUCGCGUUCGAUUUUUAUUCAUUUUGAGUAAUUUUAUUUUUAUUUUAUCAUUAAAGUGUUGAUAAUAUUUACAUAGAAUUUUCUUUAUUUUUAUUUUGACUUUAUUCCAAUAAUUUAGAAUAUAAUAUUUUUAUUUGAUUUUAGUUUUUAAAAUUUUGUUUUACACUAAUAAAAUC
rnacentral:lncRNA from 1 species